rfam:Nocardioides sp. Root151 contig_2, whole genome shotgun sequence.
GGGAAGCCGGUGAGAGUCCGGCGCUGACCCGCAGCCGUAAAGCCGGAACACC